rnacentral:rRNA from 1 species
GAUGAACGCUGGCGGCGUGCUUAACACAUGCAAGUCGAACGGAAAGGCCGAAGCUUGCUUCGGUACUCGAGUGGCGAACGGGUGAGUAACACGUGGGUGAUCUGCCCUGUACUUCGGGGUAAGCUUGGGAAACUGGGUCUAAUACCGGAUAUGACGAUCUCUUGGAUGGGGUUGUGGAAAGCUUUUGCGGUAUGGGAUGAGCUCGCGGCCUAUCAGCUUGUUGGUGGGGUAAUGGCCUACCAAGGCGUCGACGGGUAGCCGGCCUGAGAGGGUGUACGGCCACAUUGGGACUGAGAUACGGCCCAGACUCCUACGGGAGGCAGCAGUGGGGAAUAUUGCACAAUGGGCGCAAGCCUGAUGCAGCGACGCCGCGUGGGGGAUGACGGCCUUCGGGUUGUAAACUCCUUUCGCAAUCGACGAAGCCUUUUGGUGACGGUAGGUGGAGAAGAAGCACCGGCUAACUACGUG